rnacentral:rRNA from 1 species
UACGGGGGGGGCAAGCGUUGUUCGGAAUUACUGGGCGUAAAGGGUUUGUAGGUGGUCUGCUAAGUCAGACGUGAAAUCCCUCAGCUUAACCGGGGAACUGCGUCUGAUACUGGAUGGCUUGAGAUUGGGAGAGGGAUGCGGAAUUCCAGGUGUAGCGGUGAAAUGCGUAGAUAUCUGGAGGAACACCGGUGGCGAAGGCGGCAUCCUGGACCAACACUGACGCUGAGGAGCGAAAGCGUGGGGAGCAAACAGG